rnacentral:lncRNA from 1 species
GAAGCUGGAUGUCCUGGUGUGGAGAUCUCGCAUACCCCCAUACCAUAACUACACUAUGAGGUGUGAGAUAGAGGCAGCACAAGAGAUGAUGUCCAAGAAGAAGCGGCCUCACUCCAUGGUGUAAUUCAGGUCAUCUGCAAAUGAGCACACAACCUCAGUUUGUUGCUAUUCACUUCAUUGGCAGGUUUUAUUAUUGCAAUCAAAUUUGAAUGGUGAUAUGCAUAAUAGGAUCUAUCUGUUUCUUGCAAUGAGCUCUUUUUUCUUAUUUUAUAUCAAAUAGGUUACGCACUCUGCUAAUCCUUUGCAGUUUGUAGUUCAGUUUAUGUGCAUUUGUCCUCUGUACGCAGCAGUUUGUAACCUGGGCGACAAGACUCUCAUAGGAAACUACAACUCAUGAGAAAAUACAAUCAUAUUCAGUGACUUAUGUGCAGUGCAGAAAUGCAUGAUCUGACCUCGGAAUAUACAGAGACUAUGAUGGCUUGUUUCGUUUCGUUUAACUUCCUGUGAAAUUCCUGCUUUCCAAAUGCAGCAUUAGUUUGGCCCAGUAGAAAACAUAUAGUAAUCACAGAGAAACUCGCAGGAAUCUACCCAGCCCUCGUGUAAGAAUUAGUCAACAAUUGGAGGCAACAAAGGACUGGUCCAUUAAUACAUCAUGGUGGAAAAUGUUGCGUCUAGAUAAUGUGUGAACAUGACGACUCCUUGCAGCUUAUCUUACAGCAUUUAGGUAGCUCGCCUGGCAGUUAGAGGCCAGAGAUGAACUGAAAACAGGAACUCAAAUCAAACAUCGUAAUGGAAACGUUCAUUUCUGCAAUCCUUGGUGAUCUUUUCAGCAGAUCAGUAUCUUUUGUCCUCAACAAUUACCAUCUACGGCGGCAGAAGGGCGUCAAGGACAACCUGCAAGAGCUGCGCUGCGUGUUGCUGCGCAUCCAGGCCACCGCGGAGGAGGCUGAGGGGCGGCACAUCACCAACCAGGCCAUGCUCCAUCAGCUCCAGAUGCUGAGAGAAGCCAUGAACAAAGGCUGCUACCUGCUUGAUAAUUUCACAUACCGGAUGCUGCAGCAGGAGAGUUCCAAUGUUCAGGUUAGCGACCACCCCUUUCCCCUGUCCAAAUUCAAUCCAGCAAAGGGCCUGCGCUUCUCUACCAGGAGGAUGAUCGUUGCAUUUCAAGGUGAUGGGGCGAAGGAGGUUCAGAAGAUGCUAGGAAGCUUGCAUAGCAUAAUCAGCGAUAUGGCAGAGUUCAUCAUCUUCUUGAAAUCAUAUCCUCCCAUAAGCCGCGAGCCUUAUAGCAAGCACUUGUUUCUGGAGAACUGCAUGUUUGGCCGCCAGACAGAGCUGGAGAAGAUCAUCAGUUUCUUGUUGCAGCCAGAGCCUCCAGGCACAGAAAGAUUGCAAGUGUUACCCAUAACUGGUCCACCGAGAGUUGGUAAAAGCACCCUUGUUGAACAUGUAUGUUAUGAUGAGAGGGUGCGCAAUCACUUUUCCACAAUUAUUCUAUGUAGAGAUCCUACUGCUCCAGAAGGCAGUGGUGUGGUCAAGAAGCAAAGUCAUAGUUUACAUGGAAGAUCACUAAUUGUCAUGGAGCUUGCUGAUGAUUUGGUUGUAGAUGAAAGGCAAUGCAGAAACUUCUACUCUUCAAGAAACCACAUGUCACCUGGAAGUAAAGUUAUUGUGACAAGCAGAUCAGAGAAUAUAAUGAAACUUGGUACUACAGCAGCUCUUAAGUUGGAUUUUUUAUCUCAGGAAGCUUACUGGUACUUCUUCAAAGUGAUGGCUUUUGGAAGCACAAAUCCUGAUGACCACCCAGCGCUAGCAUCAAUAGCUAUGGAAAUUGCAGCAGGGCUUCAAGGAGGUUUCUUGGGUGCACAUGCCAUCUGCGGCUUUCUAAGAGCUAAUAUCCACAAUUGGUUUUGGAACAUGAUCCUUGAAUGUCAGAGAAACAAUAUAGAGAGGAAUAUCCUCAUCUUUGGUGAACAUCCACAGUCUCUUCUUUGGAAGAGCCAGAUUGCAUAUGUUUGGACUCUGUCCAACAUUUCCGUGAGGGUCAAAGUUCUUCAUUUUCAAACACGUUCCCCUCUGAAUGAUGUCCGAAAAUAAUGUUGCAUGAAGUCCACACAAGUGCAAAAGCUCAUGGGAAGCUGGACGUCCUGGUGUGGGAAAUCGGGGCAUACCCCCAUAUCACAGCUACAUUAUGAAGUGUGAGAUUGAGGCACCAGAAGACAUGAUGGUCAAGAAGAAGCGCCCUCCUUCUUAUCUGCAAAUAUGAACAUUUCCUUGAUGUUGAAUUCAUUGGCUGUUUUCAUCGUUGAGAUCAAAUAUCAAAUGUGAAGGGUGACGUUCAAAUACACCACUAGUGAACAAAUCUAUCUGUUUCUUACAGUGAUCUCUUCUCCAUAUUUUUUCUAUAAAUUAAAGUGCAAGCUCUGCUCUUGUAAAUGCUUUGUUGUUGAGUUGUUGUAAAAUGCAAGCUCUGACAUUCCUUUGUAGUUAGUACAUAUCAUUCAGCCUGUGUGCAGACAUACUUUAUAUUUCCUGUACCCAGUAGUUUGUAAUCAGGGUGACAAGACUCUGACUGGUGGAGAAUAUCAUUAUAUUCACACAUAUUUAAAAAACUCGAACCUGAACCUGCUGUAUGCUAUUCAUGUGCUCUAACCAUUGGACUAGAUAUCUUUUUGCCGCUCCUUAUUUUGUGGACGGAGGUAGUAGAAAUGUACGAUAUGAUCUCAAAAUAUAUAUAAAAAAGGCAUUGUGGGAUUGUUUAUAUUCACUAAGGUCUGUAUUACUGCCUGCAGAAUUUCUGCUUUCCAAACAUGGCCUUCAUUUGGCCCACUAGAAACUAUAUAAUGUUCUAUCUUCCCUGCUCACAUUGUCAUAACUCAGAGCAAAUCGCCCCUAAGCUACAACACUCGUUCCUCCAUUCAUCAUUUUAUUCAUUAACGCCUAUCAAAUUUUUAAAUUUACUCUAGAAUUCUGGAUCUUUAAUUGGACAAUGGAAAAAGGGAAAAACUGUUUUAUUUAAUAUAUGCAUAAAAAAUCACAAUAAAAAAGAUAGGUGGAAUGCACCUGCGGUAGUCACUCUGGUUAUUUACAUUUUGUUCACCCUCUAUUUAACAAAACAACAUACUGUUCACCAGGGGAAUCAUAUCUAAAUUCUAAUGGUCCAAUCCAUGUGCACACCACUUGCCACAUCUCAAGUAAAAUUGCGACUAAGCUAUAGCACUCUGCAUUCGUUGGUUUAUUUAUUUAUGGUUUGUAUCUGGUAGAAAAUAUUAUAACAUCCCAAAGGUAAAGGUAUGAAACUGGAUUAGCUUAUCUGCACAUCCAAUAAACUCUAGAAUUUGGAUAUGUAAUUCAACAAUGGGAAAUAAGAACACUAUUUCCUUUAAUCUUUGUAAAAAGAAAAUUCAAUAAGAAUGACCAACCAAGCACAAAACCGGAGAAUCGUAAUCUUCUGUACCGUACCAGCAGUUUUCCAUAACAAUUCCCAUUUUCCUUUAAGACUUUUUUGGUUAUGUACUUUGCAUGACAUUAGACCAAAGAACCAUCUUUUCUAGACCGAACACUGAAUCUGUCUAACUAUCUACAGCUUGCUGUUGUCUAGUCAAUUUUGAGAAAGCCCAUUGCUUCGUCCCAACCUUCAAAGUCUCAACGACAACACUACAGGUCUACAGCAGAUGGCUGCUACGCUCAGUCACAACUCACAACGCGUUCAACCUAAUCAGCAUAUGCGUUCGACCAGAAUUAAUCGAAACCUGCAACAUUUGGGCCGCAACACUGAAUCUAACUAUCUACAUCGAAGCACUGAGAUACAACAUGCUCAAAGAAGGAUGGGAUUAACAGCUUACCAUGGCAUCGGCGGCAGAGGGCAGGCGUGCCGUGGGAGGGCGCGCGCGCAGCGGUCAGGAUCUCUGCGUGCUGCGGCAUCCACUGAUGCCGUCGCCCUCGUGGGCAUCCGCGGGACAUGACGGAUCGGGAAUAGGUUGGGAGCUUGACUGGGAAGCAGACAACGAGUCAGAAAAUCAGGGCAACCGUCGCGGGAGACAUGGGCCUUCGAUGGGCCGAU